rnacentral:rRNA from 1 species
GACGAACGCUGGCGGCGUGCUUAACACAUGCAAGUCGAACGAAGUGGCGAACGGGUGAGUAACGCGUAAUCAACCUGCCCUUCAGAGGGGGAUAACAGUCGGAAAUGACUGUUAAUACCGCAUACUGAGGGAGGGGAUCGCGUCGAGUUAGCUAGUUGGAGGGGCAACGGCCUACCAAGGCGAUGAUCAGUAGCCUGUCUGAAAGAUGGAACGGCCACAUUGGGCCUGAGACACGGCCCAGACUCCUACGGGAGGCAGCAGUGGGGAAUCUGCCGCAAUGGACGAGAGUCGGACAGAGCAACACCGCGUGAGUGAUGACGGCCUUCGGGUUGUAAAGGUCUGUUAAUCGGGACACGGUACCGGAAUAGAAAGCCACGGCUAACUGCGUGCCAGCCGCCGCGGUAAUAC